rnacentral:rRNA from 1 species
GGUCAAGCGAACAAGUGCAUGUGGUGGAUGCCUUGGCGAUCACAGGCGAUGAAGGACGCGGUAGCCUGCGAAAAGCCCCGGGGAGCUGGCAAACAAGCUUUGAUCCGGGGAUGUCCGAAUGGGGAAACCCACUCCGUAUGGAGUAUCCAUGACUGAAUACAUAGGUCAUGUGAAGCGAACGCGGUGAACUGAAACAUCUAAGUAACCGCAGGAAAAGAAAUCAACCGAGAUUCCCAAAGUAGUGGCGAGCGAAAUGGGAUGAGCCUUGUACUCUUUAUUUGUAUUGUUAGCCGAACGCUCUGGAAAGUGCGGCCAUAGCAGGUGAUAGCCCUGUAGGCGAAA